rnacentral:rRNA from 1 species
AUUGAACGCUGGCGGCAGGCUUAACACAUGCAAGUCGAGCGGGGGAAGGUAGCUUGCUACCGGACCUAGCGGCGGACGGGUGAGUAAUGCUUAGGAAUCUGCCUGGUAGUGGGGGACAACGUUUCGAAAGGAACGCUAAUACCGCAUACGUCCUACGGGAGAAAGCAGGGGACCUUUGGGCCUUGCGCUAGAAGAUGAGCCUAGGUCGGAUUAGCUAGUUGGUGGUGUAAUGGCUCACCAAGGCGACGAUCCGUAACUGGUCUGAGAGGAUGAUCAGUCACACUGGAACUGAGACACGGUCCAGACUCCUACGGGAGGCAGCAGUGGGGAAUAUUGGACAAUGGGCGAAAGCCUGAUCCAGCCAUGCCGCGUGUGUGAAGAAGGUCUUCGGAUUGUAAAGCACUUUAAGUUGGGAGGAAGGGCAGUAAGUUAAUACCUUGCUGUUUUGACGUUACCGACAGAAUAAGCACCGGCUAACUCUGUGCCAGCAGCCGCGGUAA